UACAGAGGUCUCAAGCGUUGUUCGGAUUCAUUGGGCGUAAAGAGCUCGUAGGCGGUGUGUCGCGUCGGCCGUGAAAACCUGGGGCUCAACUCUGGGCGUGCGGUCGAUACGGGCAUCACUUGAGUUCGGCAGGGGAGACUGGAAUUCCUGGUGUAGCGGUGAAAUGCGCAGAUAUCAGGAGGAACACCGGUGGCGAAGGCGGGUCUCUGGGCCGAUACUGACGCUGAGGAGCGAAAGCAUGGGUAGCGAACAGG
rnacentral:rRNA from 1 species